rnacentral:misc_RNA from 1 species
AGAGAAGAAUAUUAUAAUGGUGGGAAGCAGGUGCGCGAAGCAGCAUUAGAAAUCAUCCAAAACUUGAUGCUAGCGCAAAUUGAGAAGGCAGAAUUAUCAUCCAACAAAGAUUCUUGUAAGGACAUCUGAACAUUCAACAUGAACUACCAGAAGGUGUACAUGAACCAGAUCUACUCGAGCUCCAUCAUGAGGCAGGUGGCUCAGAUGUGGAAAAACCAGCUGCUGUGUGACGCAGUCAUCAAGACAGGAAACACUCAAACAAAGGCUCACAGAUUGGUCCUGAUUGCUGCCUGCCCAAUGCUUCAGCACAUGGAAAAUGCAUCAGUAGGAUCUCAUCUGGAAGUACGACUCAAUUCUGAUAUAAAACAGAACUCUAUUAAUACAUUCUUGCAGUAUUUGUAUGAAGGCUAUAUGAUGUUGACAGAAGAAAACUGCAAAGAUGUUGAGAAAAUUGCGAAACUUCUGCAUGCGGACAGUGUAGCAAAAUGCUGUGUUGAUUUUCAAAAGUGUUUAAAUGCUAAAUCUGGUAUGUCAUCAUAUGAAGGUGCUAAUUUUGAGGUGCAGGACAGUGUAGAAUUCCGUUAUGUCUGUUCUACAGACAUACAAAAGACUGUGCAGGAUGGUGCGAUGAAGAGAUCCUCUGAAAGCAGUGGAAGACCUCCUAGUCCUGGUAGCAAGAGGGCAAGAGUGCAGUCUGGGGGUCCAGGCAUGAUGGGUAGAGUUGAUGAUAGGUUCAGCAUGGCACACAGUUACACACAAGACCCAUUUGAACGUGUUCCAAGGCUUGGGUCAGGUUACCAACAACCAAAGCCACAACCAGGGAAAGAGAUCCAGAUGGGUGGCCCAGGAAGUCAGAUAGACCCCCUAUCCAGAAAAGUAUGUCUAUAUCUGUUGCUGGCCAGGUGAAAGGUGGAGACAGCGACUUACAGAUAAUAGAUGUUUCAAGUUUAUCAGUACCCUCACAAAGCAAACCAUCAAAUACCAGUAGAGUGCGUUCAGACUCUACAAAUGAUAGACCUUCUACAAGUUAUGACAUUUCACAGCCAGGAAGAUCAACACAGAGACAGUCUCCAUACAGUUCCGACCAGUCCCAGUCUCCAAGGACUGAAGUAGAUGGAUCUUUCCAAAGACAGCAACAACAGUUCAGCCAAUCAGCAGCUGCUAAACAGACACAGCCAAGAGCAGCACCACACCCAAGUCACCCUCCACAGCUGAAGCACAUGUCAAUGUCUGGUGUACAAAACUCUCAAAAGUCCUUUGCUGCUGGCAAUCCUUCUCAAGCCAGCUUUGCUGCAGGCAGUGCAUCGCAAGUUAGUUUUACAGGGGUUAGCAGUUCACAGUCAAACAGUCCUCAGAUACCACCCACCCCUGCUAGCACUACUGCCAUGAGUCCCAGGAAUGUUGCAGAAACUACUCCAACAUUGCCAUCACCCACUAAAUCCUUAACAGAAGCAUCACGAAGACCACAAACAGUUGUGAUUGACCAGCCUCCUACAGAUAAUGCUCAACAAGGUCAACAGGCACAAGAGCAAUUGGCACACAAAUCUCAAGAAAAAGACCCAGUUAAUCAGAAAUCCAUUGAGAUGCAUGCUGAAGAUGUAGAAAGGUUGCUGGCUGCAUCUGAGCCUGUAGCUUCUCAGAGUGGGAAUACUGGGGAAAAGUCUAAAGAGCCUGUUGCUGACUUGACUGUAAUCAAGAUAGAGGAGGAGGAUGAGGAAGAUACUGGGGGUCUGGACAUGUAUGUAGACGUCCCUGACGACAGCAAGCAGCCCCUUAAUCUGGGCAGUCGGGAUGAUUCCACGGAACAGAGCGAAAUAGAAGACCCUCCAGGGGACUGGUCGAGAGAAGAUUUCUCCAAUGAAAGUGGCAGUUUUGGUGCAGAUCCAAAUAUCUCGUGGCAAGAUGCAUCCUUUAAUAAAGGGCGUGAUCAUCCAAUUUAUCGUGAUUUUCCAACAAAUAUCGUUGUUGUUCCUUGUCAUAUGAAAGGAAAUCUUCGGUUAGUUUCUGAUGACCCUAUUGGAACACCACCUGAUUAUCUGGGCGAGGAGCAUGAAAUGGCGGGAUUCAGGGAUGAGUUCGCGAAACAUAAAAUAGUUUCAUUGACAGGCAACAAGAAGAGGUUGUGUUUAAUCUGUAAAAUAACAAGACGGCGAACUUCCGGUGGCUGCAGAGUCUCCGCUAGACACAAGUGCGGCCUGUGUGACGUAUAUUUGUGUAAAGGCGAAAGGGGCUGCUACUUGCACUAUCAUCAGAUUCUUUAUCAAAACGGUGGUUCCACGAAUAAUCCUGAGAGACUGAUAGCAGAUGCAUUUGGAAUAUCUUAUGAAAACAUAUGACAUUGAAGCUACUUUUCCAGCUCUAAUUAGCAUCAUCGUUUAAUCAGAUGUCACGGACAAACCUCGUCUACAGCAUACCCAACAUUUACCAUUCCCCGCGCACCUGCUCCGGGUCACACCUUGGCGUACUAUGAAGACAGAAAAGAGAGAUAUUGUGUCUUUUGUAAAAAGCAUAAAAUCAAAACCCGGUCCGGCUGGCAUCCCAAGUCGCUGUUCCGUUGCAGGGAGUGUGACGUGUGUCUAUGUUCCGGAAAACAGGGCAACAGGAACUGCUUUCUUUUGCAUAGCCAUUAUCCACAGCUUUCAUAGUAUUGUGCUCCAGGAGCUUGGAGUGGGGAAAGACAAUCCCUUUUUGCUUGUUUUUUGGACAUUAUUUUUAUAUCAGCCUAUUUUUUAAUCGUCAUAAAUGCAUAUUUGGUAACUGCCAGAAGUGCAUGUUUGAUAACGAAAAUCAUGUUGCAUGGAGGUAAAAAUAAAUAUUGUGUUUACUUC